rnacentral:rRNA from 1 species
GACGAACGCUGGCGGCGUGCUUAACACAUGCAAGUCGAACGGUAAGGCCCUUCGGGGUACACGAGUGGCGAACGGGUGAGUAACACGUGGGUGAUCUGCCCUGCACUUCGGGAUAAGCCUGGGAAACUGGGUCUAAUACCGGAUAGGACCCUGGGAUGCAUGUCCUGGGGUGGAAAGCUUUUGCGGUGUGGGAUGGGCCCGCGGCCUAUCAGCUUGUUGGUGGGGUGAUGGCCUACCAAGGCGACGACGGGUAGCCGGCCUGAGAGGGUGAGCGGCCACACUGGGACUGAGAUACGGCCCAGACUCCUACGGGAGGCAGCAGUGGGGAAUAUUGCACAAUGGGCGCAAGCCUGAUGCAGCGACGCCGCGUGAGGGAUGACGGCCUUCGGGUUGUAAACCUCUUUCAGCAUCGACGAAGCGAAAGUGACGGUAGGUGCAGAAGAAGGACCGGCCAACUACGUGCCAGCAGCCGCUGUAA